GACGAACGCUGGCGGCGUGCUUAACACCUGCAAGUCGAACGAAGUGGCGAACGGGUGAGUAACGAGUAAUCCACCUGCCCUUCAGAGGGGGACAACAGUUGGAAACGACUGCUAAUACCGCAUACUGAAGGAGGGGUUUGCGUCUGAUUAGCUAGUUGGAGGGGUAACGGCCCACCAAGGCGAUGAUCAGUAGCCGGUCUGUAGAGGUGAACGGCCACAGUGGGACUGAGACACGGCCCAGACUCCUACUGGAGGCAGCAGGGGGGAAUCUUCCGCAAUGGAGGAAAGUCUGACGGAGCAACGCCGCGGUAGUGAUGACGGCCUUCGGGUUGUAAAGCUCUGUUAAGCGGGACGCGGUACCGGAAUAGAAAGCCACGGCUAACUACGUGCCAGCAGCCGCGGUAAUUC
rnacentral:rRNA from 1 species